GUUCGAAGGCGAUCAGAUACCGCCCUAGUUCUAACCAUAAACGAUGCCAGCUAGCGAUCCGCCAAAGUUCCUCCGAUGACUUGGUGGGCAGCUUCCGGGAAACCAAAGCAUUUGGGUUCCGGGGGAAGUAUGGUUGCAAAGCUGAAACUUAAAGGAAUUGACGGAAGGGCACCACCAGGAGUGGAGCCUGCGGCUUAAUUUGACUCAACACGGGAAACCUCACCAGGCCCGGACACCGGAAGGAUUGACAGAUUGAGAGCUCUUUCUUGAUUCGGUGGGUGGUGGUGCAUGGCCGUUCUUAGUUGGUGGAGCGAUUUGUCUGGUUAAUUCCGAUAACGAACGAGACUCUAGCCUACUAAAUAGACGUACUUUAUUACCGGCAUCUCAAGGCCCAUCGGCUGUAUUGUUACUGAAUGUUAUUUGUAUAUUUUGUUGAUAUAUAUUUAUAAUAUGUAUGAUUGAUAAUAUAUAUUUUUUUAUAAUUCAUAUUUUUUUUUCAAAAUUAAAAUUGGUUAUUUUUUAUAUAUGUAAUUAUUUAAUCUGCAUUAAUGAUAUACUUAAAACAUGAUACAUUAACUAAAGUGACAACAGUUUUUUGAUGUGGUUUUUACUGCCGGCGUACAAAUAAUUCUUCUUAGAGGGACAGGCGGCUUCUAGCCGCACGAGAUUGAGCAAUAACAGGUCUGUGAUGCCCUUAGAUGGUCUGGGCCGCACGCGCGCUACACUGAAGGAAUCAGCGUGUUUUCCUCUGGCCGAAAGGUCCGGGUAACCCGCUGAACCUCCUUCGUGCUAGGGAUUGGG
rnacentral:rRNA from 1 species